CCCUUAGAUGUUCUGGGCCGCGCGCGCUACACUGAUGCAUUCAACGAGUCUAAAACCUGGUCUGAUAGGGCUGGGUAAUCUUUUGAAAGUGCAUCGUGAUUGGGAUAGAUGAUUGCAAUUCUUCAUCUUCAACGAGGAAUUCCUAGUAAACGCAGAUCAUCAAUCUGCAUUGAUUACGUCCCUGCCCUUUGUACACACCGCCCGUCGCACCUACCGAUUGGAUGGUCCGGUGAAGCCUCGGGAUUGUGGUUCUUGCCGCUUUAUUGUGGCGUGACCGCGAGAACUUGUCUAAACCUUAUCAUCUAGAGGAUGGUGAAGUCGUAACA
rnacentral:rRNA from 1 species